rnacentral:rRNA from 1 species
UGGGGGAUAUUGCGCAAUGGGGGCAACCCUGACGCAGCAACGCCGCGUGAAGGAUGAAGGUUUUCGGAUUGUAAACUUCUUUUAUUAAGGACGAAAUUUGACGGUACUUAAUGAAUAAGCUCCGGCUAACUACGUGCCAGCAGCCGCGGUAAUACGUAGGGAGCAAGCGUUGUCCGGAUUUACUGGGUGUAAAGGGUGCGUAGGCGGCUUUGCAAGUCAGAUGUGAAAUCUAUGGGCUCAACCCAUAAACUGCAUUUGAAACUGUAGAGCUUGAGUGAAGUAGAGGCAGGCGGAAUUCCCCGUGUAGCGGUGAAAUGCGUAGAGAUGGGGAGGAACACCAGUGGCGAAGGCGGCCUGCUGGGCUUUAACUGACGCUGAGGCACGAAAGCGUGGGUAGCAAACAGGAUUAGAUACCC